UACAGAGGGGGCAAGCGUUGUUCGGAAUUACUGGGCGUAAAGGGCGCGUAGGCGGCCUUCUAAGUCGAACGUGAAAUCCCCGGGCUCAACCCGGGAACUGCGUCCGAUACUGGAAGGCUUGAAUCCGGGAGAGGGAUGCGGAAUUCCAGGUGUAGCGGUGAAAUGCGUAGAUAUCUGGAGGAACACCAAUUGCGAAGUCAGCUCGCUGGGACGUGACUGACGCUGAGACGCUAAAGCGUGGGGAUCAAACAGG
rnacentral:rRNA from 1 species